AAUUCUCAAAUCACACACCUUUUUUGGUGUUGUGGCUUGGAUAGUUGGGUGUUGCCUAAUUUAAAUUAUUGGGCUCUCCUUAAAUGUAUAAGUUGUGCAUUUAAAAACUUGAUAGGUGUUGUAAAUUAUUAAUACAUCUAUGUUUCUAAAAUACACUGCUCCUAAUAAACCUUAUUGUUGAUGA
rnacentral:misc_RNA from 1 species